rnacentral:lncRNA from 1 species
AUCUGCCUGCCUCGGUCUCCCAAAGUGUCGGGAUUACAUGUGUGAGCCACCGUACCCGGCCCCUCCUUAUUUCCUUUAGCAUAGGUAUCCCCCAGGACAAUCUACACACCUCUCAACUCACUGUGGCAUCGCCUCUCAGGGCACCAGGAUUCACGCACAGGGUGGAUGUAGCCUUUCUACUAGUUUACAGGCAAAUGCUAGGCACCUCUCUGGCCAUUCUCAGAAUUACCAGGGACACAGGCAGAGAAGACGCCGGCUCUCACUGUCAGAUGGGCACAAGGAAACGAGCCACACUAGAGUACACACUUCAAAAUGUUUUUAUUGGAUUUAAUUUCCCAAACACUGACAUUUUAGACAAUUUUGCAAGGACUCUG